rnacentral:rRNA from 2 species
AUGGGCGCAAGCUUGAUGGAGCAACACCGCGUGAGUGAAGAAGGGUUUCGGCUCGUAAAACUCUGUUGUUGGAGAAGAACGUGCGUGAAGAGUAACUGUUUACGCAGUGACGGUAUCCAACCAGAAAGUCACGGCUAACUACGUGCCAGCAGCCGCGGUAAUACGUAGGUGGCAAGCGUUAUCCGGAUUUAUUGGGCGUAAAGCGAGCGCAGGCGGUUGCUUAGGUCUGAUGUGAAAGCCUUCGGCUUAACCGAAGAAGUGCAUCGGAAACCGGGCGACUUGAGUGCAGAAGAGGACAGUGGAACUCCAUGUGUAGCGGUGGAAUGCGUAGAUAUAUGGAAGAACACCAGUGGCGAAGGCGGCUGUCUGGUCUGCAACUGACGCUGAGGCUCGAAAGCAUGGGUAGCGAACAGGAUUAGAUACCCUGGUAGUCCAUGCCGUAAACGAUGAGUGCUAGGUGUUGGAGGGUUUCCGCCCUUCAGUGCCGAAGCUAACGCAUUAAGCACUCCGCCUGGGGAGUACGACCGCUAGGUUGAAACUCAAAGGAAUUGACGGGGGCCCGCACAAGCGGUGGAGCAUGUGGUUUAAUUCGAAGCUACGCGAAGAACCUUACCAGGUCUUGACAUCUUGCGCC